rnacentral:rRNA from 1 species
GGAGCUCUCCCAUAUGGUCGACCUGCAGGCGGCCGCGAAUUCACUAGUGAUUGUUUGAUCCUGGCUCAGGAUGAACGCUAGCGACAGGCCUAACACAUGCAAGUCGAGGGGUAUAAGUAGCUUGCUACUUAGAGACCGGCGCACGGGUGAGUAACGCGUAUGCAACCUACCUUUUACUGGGGGAUAGCCCAAAGAAAUUUGGAUUAAUACCGCAUAACAUAUUUGAAUCGCAUGGUUUAAAUAUUAAAACUUCGGUGGUAAAAGAUGGGCAUGCGUAGCAUUAGUUAGUUGGUGAGGUAACGGCUCACCAAGACUAUGAUGCUUAGGGGGUCUGAGAGGAUAGUCCCCCACACUGGUACUGAGACACGGACCAGACUCCUACGGGAGGCAGCAGUGAGGAAUAUUGGUCAAUGGGCGCAAGCCUGAACCAGCCAUGUCGCGUGCAGGAUGACGGCCCUAUGGGUUGUAAACUGCUUUUUUACAGGAAUAAACUUUGUUACGUGUAGCAAACUGAAGGUACUGUAAGAAUAAGGAUCGGCUAACUCCGUGCCAGCAGCCGCGGUAAUACGGAGGAUCCAAGCGUUAUCCGGAUUUAUUGGGUUUAAAGGGUCCGUAGGCGGGCUUUUAAGUCAGUGGUGAAAUCCCAGAGCUCAACUCUGGAACUGCCAUUGAUACUGAAGGUCUUGAAUUUAGUUGAGGUGGGCGGAAUACGUUAUGUAGCGGUGAAAUGCAUAGAUAUAACGUAGAACACCGAUUGCGAAGGCAGGCUCACUAAGCUAACAUUGACGCUGAUGGACGAAAGCGUGGGGAGCGAACA